AUUCUUUUAGUAUGACCAGUACAGCUGACUUCCAAUCAACUAGCUCCGACAACACUCGGAAAAGAAUA
rnacentral:tRNA from 1 species